UACCACAUAGACCUUCCAACUCCAAAAUUGUCAGCUAAAUGAAGCUCUUUAGUUUAUAAAAUACCAAGCCUUGAGUAUUUUGUUAUAGCAAUGGAAAAUGGACUAAUACAGAUGUCCUUCACCAUCAAUGCAGACUACUUUGGUAUGGAGGAAGUUCUUUCCAUUGGAAUAGACAUGAUCACCCACACACGUUUAGAAGAGAGACCAUCCACACAAUGCUGCCUGCCUCCCCACUGCCCACCGCCAGCUUCACAGAACCCUGCUGAGACACAAUUGUGUAUGAAACUGAUUCCAACUGCACAGUGAAAGGAACGGAGUCUGUGAGGGGUUAUGCAGCUAGAAUUACACCACAAAAUGGAAAUGGGAUCAGAACAGUGGUGGCUGAAGAAUUUCAUAAAAGAGGGGCCAACUGCUAGCAACUGGAUUGUGAAGGAGCUGUAGGAACUCGUCUUGAAACUGUGUUCUGCAUGGUCAGUUCAGUUUUUACCUAGACUGGAGCAGUUUUGUGAAGAUGCUUCAAUUCAUCCUUUAACAAAAUUGAGAAAGCAUGAACUGAUUAUACUAAAGAAUGUGAUUUUAUUGGGCAGGCAACUAAUUUGGGAAGUGGGGGAUCUAAAGCCCACCUCCCUGGCAGUCGGCCAAUAGCACGGCCUCCUGUUGCUGCCUCUGCAGAGGAUGGGACCAUUCACCUGAGGCCAAAGGACUGGAAAGGGAAAGCAAAAGGGACCUGGAAGACUUCCUGCCCAAACCAAGAGACAUGAUGCAUUGCCAGGCCCUUCUCAGGGGCUUAGGCCCAUGGGGAAAAGCUGAAGACUCACCAAUACAUUUUAUGUAGAAGAUACAGGAUGGAGACCAGUAGGAGUUAAUUUAUACAGGUUUUUUAUUUUAGCCUAAAAUAUAAAAAUAUUCCACAUAUGUAUUACCUUUGAUCUUAAUAGACCAGCUACCCUCUUUGAAUUAUAGACACAAAUUUAUUUGACUAGCUCCAUCUUAUACUUUAAGUAGCUCAGAAACUCAACUAAGAUUUGAUAAAAUGCCCAAAUUUGCCAGGCAUAUCUGUUGCAAUAUUGAGAUCUGAAUCCUAGCCUCUCAGAUUGUGUCUCCUGGACAAACAGCUAAGCCAGACAUGUGACCUGUUUUCAAACCAAUUCUGAUUGUUAAGGACUUAAACCAUGUUAACACAUAGCUUUAAUUUUUGCUUUAGUUACCAAAUUCCUUUUACUUUAUUUUUUUAUUUAAAAUGUAAUGGUGGUAUUACCAUUUCACCCAUCUUAAAGUGUACAAUUCACUAGAAUUCAGUCUUUCCACAGUCUGGUAUUACCACUGCUGCCAUUUAUCUUCAGACCUCUUUUCCAAACCGAAACCCUGCUCUGUCCCUACCAAACAACUCCCCGGUGACUCCUCUGCAGUGCUUGGCAGACCAUUGUCCUGUCAGUCUCUACGAAUCUGACCACUCUUGAGUGCCUCAUCUACGCAGAAUCAUUUCUUUUACGACAAGUAUAUUCCACAAGGUUUUUCCUGAUUACAGUGUAUGUAAUUUCCUUCCUAAAAGUUUGCAAAUUCCAUUUGGUUUUUUUUUUCUUUUGUUUCAUUUUGGCUUGGUUUGACCCCAUCCCCACCCCCCACCCCAUACUGGGGGUUGAACCUAGGUUCUUCCCACUAAGCUACUUCCCCUGCCCUUUAUUAUUUUUUAUUUUGAGGCAGUCUCUAGCUGAGUUGCUAAGGAGCACAGGUGGCACUUGAACUUACCAUCCUCCUGCUCCAGUCUCCCAGAAUGCUGGUGUGCACC